rnacentral:rRNA from 1 species
AAAACAACCAGAAAAGAAAUGGAAAAAAAAC